rnacentral:tRNA from 1 species
UUAAAAAUAAGCUAAUUUAAGCUUUUGGGUUCAUACCUCAAAUAUAAAGAUAUCUCUUUUUUUUA